rnacentral:rRNA from 1 species
UUAAAUCAUUAAAUUUAAAAGAUUUGGCGGUAUUUUAAAUAAUUAGAGGAACCUGUGUAGUAAUUGAUGAUCCACGAUAAGAAUGACUUAUAAGUUUAUGUAUUGCUGUUAAAAGAUUAUUAUUAAUUAAAUUUUUAAAUAAUUAUUUUAAUUUAAUUCAAGUCAAAAUAUAAUUUAUUUAAGAUAUGGGUUACAAUUUAAUUUUGAAAUAGGAUUUAAUAGUAA